CCUACGGGUGGCUGCAGUGAGGAAUAUUGGUCAAUGGACGAGAGUCUGAACCAGCCAAGUAGCGUGAAGGAUGACUGCCCUAUGGGUUGUAAACUUCUUUUAUAUGGGAAUAAAAUGCUCCACGUGUGGCUUUUUGCAUGUACCUUAUGAAUAAGGAUCGGCUAACUCCGUGCCAGCAGCCGCGGUAAUACGGAGGAUCCGAGCGUUAUCCGGAUUUAUUGGGUUUAAAGGGAGCGUAGGUGGAUUGUUAAGUCAGUUGUGAAAGUUUGCGGCUCAACCGUAAAAUUGCAGUUGAAACUGGCAGUCUUGAGUACAGUUGAGGUAGGCGGAAUUCGUGGUGUAGCGGUGAAAUGCUUAGAUAUCACGAAGAACCCCGAUUGCGAAGGCAGCUCACUAAACUGUGACUGACACUGAGGCUCGAAAGUGUGGGUAUCAAACAGGAUUAGAUACCCUGGUAGUC
rnacentral:rRNA from 1 species